rnacentral:rRNA from 1 species
GACGGAGGAUGCAAGCGUUAUCCGGAAUGAUUGGGCGUAAAGCGUCCGCAGGUGGCAGUUCAAGUCUGCUGUCAAAGACCGGGGCUUAACUUCGGAAAGGCAGUGGAAACUGAACAGCUAGAGUAUGGUAGGGGCAGAGGGAAUUCCUGGUGUAGCGGUGAAAUGCGUAGAUACCAGGAGGAACACCGGUGGCGAAAGCGGCUUCCUGGCCGAGUACUGACGCUGAGGCACGAAAGCGUGGGGAGCGAACGGG